rnacentral:ncRNA from 1 species
UUAAAUACAAAGAAGAGGAAUAGUAGAAAUAUAAGUUCUUUAAAAGAGAGGGAAUGCUAGCUGAAAAAUUCCUUAAGGAGCCCCUUUGAACCUGCCUCUGAGUUCUGCACUGAAAUAAGGUAUAUGAAUUUCAACAUUCCUUAAAGUAGGCUGUAGCGGUUAAAUUCCGUUAAAGAUAAGAGUGAGUAGUGUUAAUUAAUUUAUUAAUUAGGGUGGUACCGCCGAUAUAGUCUCGGUCCCUUUG